rnacentral:rRNA from 1 species
AGCGAACGCUGGCGGCAGGCUUAACACAUGCAAGUCGAGCGGGCAUCCUUGUGGUGUCAGCGGCAGACGGGUGAGUAACGCGUGGGAACGUGCCCUUCGGUUCGGAAUAACUCAGGGAAACUUGAGCUAAUACCGGAUACGUGCGAGAGCAGAAAGGUUUAUCUGCCGAAGGAUCGGCCCGCGUCUGAUUAGCUAGUUGGUGAGGUUACGGCUCACCAAGGCGACGAUCAGUAGCUGGUCUGAGAGGAUGAUCAGCCACACUGGGACUGAGACACGGCCCAGACUCCUACGGGAGGCAGCAGUGGGGAAUAUUGGACAAUGGGGGCAACCCUGAUCCAGCCAUGCCGCGUGAGUGAUGACGGCCUUAGGGUUGUAAAGCUCUUUUCUCCAGGACGAUAAUGACGGUACCGGAGGAAUAAGCCCCGGCUAACUUCGUG